rnacentral:piRNA from 1 species
UGUGCAACUCGUAGGCUCAGGUGGCUA